ensembl:lncRNA
ACAGCCAGCCGGACUCAGGGCAGCUUCCCUUCUGCCAGGGACUGGGAGUCACUCUCAUUGCCCAGGCUGGAGUGCAAUGGUGCCAUCUCAGCUCACUGCAAACUCCACCUUCCAGGUUCAAGAGAUUCUCCUGCCUCAGCCUCCUGAGUAGCUGGGAUUACAGGCCCAGGAGGAGGAAGGUGGAAGUGGCUUGAGCCAGGUGAGCAUCUUUGCGGAACGCAGGGCUGCUGAAAAGCUCUCCAUGCCAGAGCUACCCUCCGGGUGGCUUUGCUGGUGAAGGGCCGGCGGCACAUCUGGCGGACAGGUGCAACUUGGGUCUUCCUUGCUUGUGAAAAUGUAUCUUCGCUUUGCUGAGCCUAGCAUGGCCGGGUGAGUUAUGGGGAGGAGAAGCAGCCGGACAAGGUGGUCUUCACCCUGCAGGGCACCAGAGGCAGGAGCCGAGGCUUGCACUGAUGAAGGGACUGGGAGCACCGAGGCCAGAGGUGUGGCAACGCCAGCUGGGGAAUUCCAGUGACCACACCCUCCUGGCUGAGGUGGGAAGAGGCAGGCUGCUCCCACGAGUGGGCAGUUCUUGGCUGCUGCUUCUCAUCAGCUUCCCUGUGAGAUUUCAUCAGCACCUCCUCCCUCUCCACUGCCUGAAGAAUCCAGGGCCGCCAAUCAAAACGACAACAGGGGUCUGGCUCUAUCGCCCAGGCUGGAAUGCAGUGGAGCAAUCUCAGCUCACUUCAACCUCCACCUCCUGGGCUCAAAUGAUCCUCCCGCCUCAGCCUCCCGAGUAGCUGGGACUACAGGCGUGUGCCACCACGUCUGGCUAAUUUUUGUAUUUUUUGUAGAGACUGAGCUUUGCUAUGUUGCCCAGGCUUGUCUCAAACUACUGAUCUCAAGUGAUCCUCUUGCCUCGGCCUCCCAAAGUGCUGGGAUUACAGGCGUGAGCCACCGUGCCCAGCUGCCCUUAGUGUUAUGACCGGGAGGGGACAUCUGCUGGAGACCGGCUGAGGUGAAGUCUUUGACCAUGGCCAAAAGUGAAAGCCACAGCCCACACUUGGCCUCUCCCGCUGGGCUGGCCACCUGCAGGGACCGUGUGGCAUUGGGCUCACUUUGUGCAUGGGGUGCUGUGCUCCUCAGUCCCUGGAGGGGGUGGCAGCCGUGUGGUGUGCUUUGGCGAUGAAAUGUGAGUAGAGCAAUGCUGGCCACGUCCUCCAGGGAGCAUUGAGUGCUUGCAUGAGACUCACCAAGGCCGUGGAGGCCCAGUCAUGCCCCAGAGGUCACCCAGCACCUGGUGCCCCUUCCAGGAGCCAGGAAUAAACCCAUGCUGUUUUUCAUCCUUCGACUUUCAGCAUUUCUGUGAUAUCAUCAGGAGCAUAUAGUUUGAUUUUAAAAUAUCAAGUCUGAAAAUCUUCGUCUUUGAAUUGGAGUAUUCAGUCCAAUUUUCACCAUAUUAGUCCAACCUUGAACACUUGUUAUAUAUUGUUUAAUAAACGUUGGCAUGUUAGUUGAACAUUUAAUCCAAUAACUGAUUUGUUUGGGUUUAAACCUACCAUCUUACUGUGGGUUUUAUAUUUAUCCCAUCUAUUCUACGUUCAUUUUUUUCUUUCCUUUCUUGCCUUUUUUUUUUUUUGGAUGAAACGAGUAAAUCCUAUUAUUUCAUUUCCUCCAUCGUUAGCUUGUUAGUGAAACUGUCUUUUACUAUUCUUGCAGUGCUGAUUCUACUUGAGGUUAUAGCAUGCAUCCUUGAUUUACUGAAGAUUAAUAUAGAGCAAAACUUUUCCCACUUCCCAGACAAGGCUGGAACUUUGGAAAGCUUUUACACUAUUUACCCCUCCUGCCUUUCAACGCUAUUGUUUCCUUGUCAUUUAAGCCUUUAUAUGUUUUAACCUGAAUUUUUAUUUUCUAUUCAUUUUGUUUUACGUAGUCAAAAUUCAUUUACAUUUGCCCAAAUGUUUACCUUUCCCAGGGAUUUUCUUUGUUGCCUCAUUUUUUUGGUUUCCAGCUGGGAUUAUACUCCUUCGCUUAAAAAUCUCCUCUUUACCUAUCUUUUCGUGUGAGUUGUUGGCAAUGAAUUCUUUCUUUUCUUUUUGGAGGGGAAGUCUGGAAAUGUCUUUAUCUUACCCUCGCUUUUAUUUCUUUAUUAUAAGAAAGAAAAGUGUUCAUUGCAUGCUGCUAAAUGAAUAAGGUAAAAACGCACACUUACAAAACAUUAGUGUAAAAGUGUGCAAAAAGAUGAGAAAUAAAAACACUUUACAUAAACUCG